CAUCCCCUACCUCCGCUCGGUCUCCUGUCCGUGCGCUGCCACACCCAGAUCAGCUCCGCACGAUUCGCGCAACCCCAAACCCCCUCGCUCCAAUCUGUGGGCGCUGAAAGAAUCCCCACGAUCCCCUCGACCGAUUCUCGUAUCCACCCCUCAUUUUCCCCCUUGGAACCGAGAGCACGGACCCCGCCGAUCUCCGCCGCCUGAAGCUCCUCCGACGACGAACUGCACUGCGACCACACACUGCUGGUUCGAGCACCCCACAUCCACCCAAAGAUCACCGCCGACGCCGGAGCUCCAAUGCCACUGCAGCGCCAGAAGAUGACGCCCUGAUCGCCGUUGAAACUACCAUCGUCUCCAUCAUCGCAAGCCGCAUCUGUACCUCAUCUUCACCGGAGAACCACCGGACGAGCGCCGCCACCCGCGCCCGAAGCCAUCGCCGUUUUUGCCCUGCUUCGGUGAGCACGCGCGCACAGCUACAUCUCAGCUAAUCUGCAUGUGACACAUGCCGCUAUGCUACAGUAAUCGUAGUUCAAAAUCAUGUUUUUAGACAGAUUUUCACCAAUUAUUCGUUUAUCUAUAUCUCUUGGUCUGUAUAUCCAAAUUCAUUGAUUCUUUU